GCAAGUCUGGUGCCAGCAGCCGCGGUAACUCCAGCUCCAAUAGCGUAUAUUAAAGUUGUUGCAGUUGAAAAGCUCGUAGUUGAAUUUCGGGAUCAAUAUUUCGGUCAUGCCGUUGGUAUGCACUGUUAUCAUUGAUUUCUCACCUUCUAAAGAACCAUAAUGCCAUUAAUUUGGUGUUACGGGGAAUUAGGACUGUUACCUUGAAAAAAUUAGAGUGUUUAAAGCAGGCUCACGCUUGAAUACAUUAGCAUGGAAUAAUGAAAUAGGACAUCCGAUUCUAUUUUGUUGGUUUCUAGGAUCGAUGUAAUGAUUAAUAGGGAUAGUUGGGGGCAUUAGUAUUCAAUUGUCAGAGGUGAAAUUCUUGGAUUUAUUGAAGACUAACUACUGCGAAAGCAUUUGCCAAGGAUGUUUUCAUUAAUCAAGAACGAAAGUUAGGGGAUCGAAGACGAUCAGAUACCGUCGUAGUCUUAACCAUAAACUAUGCCGACUAGGGAUCGGAUGAUGUUAAUUUUUUAAUGACUCAUUCGGCGCCUUACGGGAAAC
rnacentral:rRNA from 1 species